GGCUCCCACAGUGCAGCUGGGGGCUGAAGGGCUCCUCAAGCGAGGCCAGAGUGGGCGCAGAGAGCGAGUGAGGGCUGCGAACACACUGUCACCUCUCACCGCCUGCUUACCUACCACUGAGAUUGUUCCUGCCACUGUCAGUGAUGCUGAAUGAGUGCUUCAACAACUGUUGGGAAAGGAGAAAACCCAUUUAGCUAUGUCAGAAGAUCUGCCAGUCCUCACUGUCUGUUUCACUGUGGUAGAACCUUCACACCGGAAGAACUAGGAUGGGAACAUCUCCAGGGGAGAGAGAAAGUGGGAUCGAUGAAGACAGAAAAAGGGGUAAUUUGUGACGUCGCGUGCUCAUGUUAGUGACAGUAACACAGUACCAU
rnacentral:lncRNA from 1 species